GGAGAGGUGCCGGAGUGGUCGAACGGGGCGGUCUCGAAAACCGUUGUGCCCCCUGGGCACCGAGGGUUCGAAUCCCUCCCUCUCCGCCA
rnacentral:tRNA from 1 species